rnacentral:rRNA from 1 species
ACGUAGGGACCAAGCGUUGUUCGGAUUUACUGGGCGUAAAGGGCUCGUAGGCGGCCAACUAAGUCAGACGUGAAAUCCCUCGGCUUAACCGGGGAACUGCGUCUGAUACUGGAUGGCUUGAGUUCGGGAGAGGGAUGCGGAAUUCCAGGUGUAGCGGUGAAAUGCGUAGAUAUCUGGAGGAACACCGGUGGCGAAGGCGGCAUCCUGGACCGAAACUGACGCUGAUGAGCGAAAGCCAGGGGAGCAAACGGGA